rnacentral:rRNA from 2 species
UGGGGAAUAUUGCACAAUGGGGGAAACCCUGAUGCAGCGACGCCGCGUGAACGAAGAAGGUAUUCGUAUCGUAAAGUUCUGUCCUAUGUGAAGAUAAUGACAGUACCAUAGAAGAAAGCUCCGGCUAAAUACGUGCCAGCAGCCGCGGUAAUACGUAUGGAGCGAGCGUUGUCCGGAAUUAUUGGGCGUAAAGGGUACGCAGGCGGUUUAAUAAGUCGAAUGUUAAAGAUCGGGGCUCAACCCCGUAAAGCAUUGGAAACUGAUAAACUUGAGUAGUGGAGAGGAAAGUGGAAUUCCUAGUGUAGUGGUGAAAUACGUAGAUAUUAGGAGGAAUACCAGUAGCGAAGGCGACUUUCUGGACACAAACUGACGCUGAGGUACGAAAGCGUGGGGAGCAAACAGG